rnacentral:rRNA from 1 species
AGGAAAGCAGGGGAUCGUAAGACCUUGCGUUAAUGGAGCGGCCGAUAUCUGAUUAGCUAGUUGGUGGGGUAAAGGCCCACCAAGGCUUUGAUCAGUAGCUGGUCUGAGAGGACGACCAGCCACACUGGAACUGAGACACGGUCCAGACUCCUACGGGAGGCAGCAGUGGGGAAUUUUGGACAAUGGGCGCAAGCCUGAUCCAGCCAUUCCGCGUGAGUGAAGAAGGCCUUCGGGUUGUAAAGCUCUUUCGCAAGGGAAGAAAACUUACUUAAUAACACUAGGUGAGGCUGACGGUACCUUGAUAAGAAGCACCGGCUAACUACGUGCCAGCAGCCGCGGUAAUACGUAGGGUGCGAGCGUUAAUCGGAAUUACUGGGCGUAAAGCGUGCGCAGGCGGUUCUGUAAGUCAGAUGUGAAAUCCCCGGGCUCAACCUGGGAACUGCGUUUGAAACUACAAAGCU